UACGGAGGGAGCUAGCGUUGUUCGGAAUUACUGGGCGUAAAGCGCGCGUUAGGCGGCUAUUCAAGUCAGAGGUGAAAGCCCGGGGCUCAACCCCGGAACUGCCUUUGAAACUAGGUAGCUAGAAUCUUGGAGAGGCGAGUGGAAUUCCGAGUGUAGAGGUGAAAUUCGUAGAUAUUCGGAAGAACACCAGUGGCGAAGGCGACUCGCUGGACAAGUAUUGACGCUGAGGUGCGAAAGCGUGGGGAGCAAACAGG
rnacentral:rRNA from 1 species